GGGUUGUGAGGUUAAGCGACUAAGCGUACACGGUGGAUGCCCUGGCAGUCAGAGGCGAUGAAGGACGUGCUAAUCUGCGAUAAGCGCCGGUAAGGUGAUAUGAACCGUUAUAACCGGCGAUUUCCGAAUGGGGAAACCCAGUGUGACUCGUCACACUAUCAUUAACUGAAUCCAUAGGUUAAUGAGGCGAACCGGGGGAACUGAAACAUCUAAGUACCCCGAGGAAAAGAAAUCAACCGAGAUUCCCCCAGUAGCGGCGAGCGAACGGGGAGGAGCCCAGAGCCUGAAUCAGCAUGUGUGUUAGUGGAAGCGUCUGGAAAGGCGCGCGAUACAGGGUGACAGCCCCGUACACAAAAGCGCAUGUGCUGUGAGCUCGAUGAGUAGGGCGGGACA
rnacentral:rRNA from 1 species